AUGGCCGAGAGGAAGCUGGAUCGAUUCGCGGCGCUCGGGAAAGAUGCCCUCUCGCUCGGGAUCGAGGAGGAUAGGUCCACCGCCGCCGCCAUGGGUUUCGUCGACGAUCCCAAAGAUCAGCAGCACCUGGAGAACAGCAUUCCUCUGUCCCCUCAGUGGCUUUAUGCCAAACCAAGCGAUGCCAAGAUUUCAGCUGCUCAUGGGUCCUUGCUUGAACCUUCUGAGAAAGAUGUGAGGAUGCUUGAAGGCUCUGGGGCCAAGAAAGAGCGCCGUCGGAAUGCAUUUGAUGCUGGUUGGCUUGAUGAGGAGAGGGAGACGAGCUUACUUGGGAGGAGGGAUCACAAGAAGGAAGUGGACCGGGAAGUGGAGAACCGCAAAAACGAUCGCCGAUCUGACAAUGUUUCUGCAAGGGACAACAACGAUUCACGGGCAGCUCCUACAUCUGGAAGGUGGGAUGAUGGCUCCACCCGAAAUUCAGGGAAUGAAGGUAGGCGUGAUGGAAAAUGGUCAUUAAGAUGGGGACCUGACGACAAGGAGAAGGACUCCAAACCAGAAAAGAAGAUGGAUGCAGAAAAGGAUGAACCUCAUGGUGAGAAACAAACACUUCCUGUAAGGCUGCUGCCUGAGUCAGACUCCCGUGAUAAAUGGAGACCUCGUCACCGGCAGGAGACUCAGACCAGUGGUACAGCGACAUACCGUGCUGCUCCAGGAUUUGGUUUGGAGAAAGGACGUGUGAAGGAAUCAAAUGUUGGUUUUGCCCCUGGAAGAGGCAGGGCAAACCCCAACUCAGUUCCAUCCUUCAGCCGUCCAUCAUCUGCUGGGCCAAUUGGUGCUCCACCUGUGUAUGGGAGGCGUGCGGCAACUGCUGGUGCUUUUCGCUACCCAAGGGGUAAACUUCUUGACAUAUACAGGCAACAAAAGGCUGUGCAGUCAUUUGAAGAUGGCCGACGGAUGCUGGAAGAAGUUCCUCCCAUAACACUCUCUACUUCUGUUAAGCCACUAGCCUUUGUCACCCCUGAUAACAAUGAAGAGGCUGUUUUGGAAGAUAUUAGGAAAGGCAGGGUCACCAGCAGUGAAGCGACGAAUACAACUGCACUCCAAAAGGAGAGAAACAAAGAUCUUGAAGCUUUUGGUAUUGAUGCCAACAAGGAUAAAAGCGCUGAAGCAUUUAGCGGGUUAAGUCAUGAAGGAUCUGCUGCCUUAAUAUCAGAGAAGGAUGCCUUUUACAAUGAAGGGAUGUUUGCAGGUGGUAUUACAGGCCCACCAAAGAAGCCUACCGAGGAAAAUGCUCCCAGUCACCCACAUGGACUUUCUGGCAUCAGGGAAGACACAAAGUUUAAUGAGGUCAAGCCAAGUGCUGAUAUCGAUCCUAGCACUAAGUUACCUGAUGAUUCAAAUGCUCAGUUCAAUGUAAAUGUUGACUAUCCUACUGGCCAGGCAAGUUACACUGAAACAAAAGCUGGUGGCCAGGAUAGUUACCCAGAGGAGUUGACCCUAUACUAUCUGGAUCCCCAAGGAGGUGUGCAGGGUCCAUUUAUGGGUACUGAUAUAGUCUCCUGGUAUGAAGAUGGGUAUUUUGGAUUGGAGCUACCUGUGCGUCUAGCUCAGGCUCCAGAUGAUGCUCCUUUUCGCCCACUUUCUGACCUCAUGCCGUACCUUGGACAUAAGCCCCAAUCUCUCCCACCUGUAUCCCGUGGUGGAAGUGCUGAAUCUCCGGAUUCUGUACAUAACAAUUUUGAAGAUGCGCUUCCUACUUCUGGUUCUUUUGGGAAGAAUGAUCAAACAUCUAAGGCAGACUCUGGAAAUUAUGCAGCUAAUCCUACAAGAGGUGACCAGGAAGCACCGGUACAAUCACGUACUGGUUGGUUCCCCUCAGUUGAAGCACAAAAGACUGAAGCAAACCCAGAUAUUCGUCAGCAGCGCAUUCCUGAAACUGUGAGUCAGGAUGCUGAAGAAGUGUUGUACACUGGGAGGCCUACCAGUGGCAUGGGUCAAUCUCGACCAGAUUUUGAUAAUGACCGUGCAGAUUUCCAAUUGACAUCACUGGAUUCCCGUUCUGGGGUGGGGGAAGCUAAUUUGCCCAAGCAGGAUGCCCCUAGAGAGAAUGAACUCAGCCCUCUUGGUUUGCUUUGGUCUGAGCUGGAAGGGAUGCAUCCAAAGCAGCCUCUCUCAUCAAAUGUGCUUGGUGUAAAUGAGCGGAGAAAUCCCAAACCGUCAGCUCCCAAGGACAUUCCACCAGCAAAUAUCAGGCAUGGGCCGCUUAGCCGGAUGAAUGAAGCCCCUGUUGUGCGUGAUGAGUGGCCUGCUAACCUUGGACGGCUGGACAGCAUAAAUGAUGCAAACAUGUCAGGGCUAAUUUCCCAGGUUGAACCUGAGCUAGGUCAUCUGAAUUAUGAGGAGCAAAUGCUACUUACACAGAUUCGAAGGGAGCAACUGCAGCAGGAACAAAUGAUGGGUCGUAACAAUCUGGAAUUUCCUGGACAAUUUGCAGGGCAGGUGUUUGAUUCAUUGCACCAACACAGACAGUCCAUCAAUCCACCGGCUCCUGAGGUGGAGCACCUUUUGAGAGUCCAGUUUGAACUUGAACACCAGCAGCGACGCCAACAGCUUCAGCAGGAGCAGCACCGCCAGCAGCUUCAGCAAGAGCAGCACCAGAGGCAGCUUCAGCAGGAGCAACACCAAAGGCAGCUGCAGCAGCGCCAAGCCCAGCUGCUGCAACAGCAACAACAGCAGCUGAUUCUUGAACAAAUGUUGCAGCAGCAGUUGCAGAGUUCAAACUUCGGACAAGCUAACAUGGUCGAUCAAGUGUUACUCCGGGAACAGUUAUUGAAUGACUUGCAUCAUCAACCCCAUCAUUUUCAAAGGCAGCAUGAUGCAGCUAUUGAACAACUCAUUCAAGCAAAAUUUGGGCAUGGCCAUCAUAGGGAGCAACACAAUGAUAUGUUAGAUGUUCUCUCACGUUCAAACCAGAGGCAGGCGCUUCCUUUGGAGCAGCAAAUUCUUUUAGGGCUGCACCAUGAUCAGCUCCAAACACAACAAUUGGCCAAUGCUAUACGGCAACAUGCGGGCAGGGAGGAAGAACGGCAUUUAAGUGGGGGCUGGCCAAUGGAUGAUCCUAGCCAGUUUAUCCGCACAGGAACUAGUCCAAAUCAAAGCCACGCUUCCAGACUUGGUCAAUUCGAUCUUCUGCAGUCCCUUCAGAGGUCGUCAUCUGUGGAGCAUCAUGACCAUCUCGACCGAAGCUUAUCUAUGCAUGAACGAUUGCAUAGGGGAGGUCAAGGUAUUCACUCCCUUGAUCGGUCUGGCUCUUUGCCUGGUGGUGCUCCUUUACCAAAUCCUGAUGUUGUAAAUGCCCUAGCACGUCAUCAUGGCCUCGGUCAGAUGGAAACACAUGGUGAUCUAUAUUCUGCAGGCCAGAUGCCUAUGCAUGCCUCAGGGGUUCAUCCCCAACAACACAGGCUGCAGGAGCAGCUGUCAGGUUCUCACAUGGGAAGGCUGGAAAGGAACUGGUCAGAUGCCAAUGGGCAACUGCAAAAUAGCCUGAUGGAAGCUUCUCGCAUCAACCAGUUGCAAAUUGAAGCAGAGAAGCAGAGGAGGAAUGUGGAAAUGAACCUUCCCAUUGACAACCCACAUGCAUGGGCAUCCCUUAUGAACAAUGAGAGGAACCCAGAAGCUGAAUUGAGUGAUAUGAUUCAUCAAAAACUGGUUCUUCAAGCACAGCAAUCUCGUGGUUUCCCUGAUGUUCCGGCGACGGCAUCAUUUGGACAAAGGUCACAUUUCUCAAAAAUGGGGCACUUGGGACAGGAUGGACCAACUACUAUAGAUAUUUUACCGAACAAUAUUGAGAUGAACCGGAAACUCGGCCUCAGAUCAAGCUCUGCGACAAUGCUUGAUAUGCAAAGGGGAGAAUUCCCAGAUGUGAUGGGUGGCAGUGCAUCAACUAAUCAAUUGGUUGGGAGUGCCAGUGAUGUAGCCAGGAGGAAAAGGCAGGGUUCUAGUGCAAACUUGGCAGUGGAGGACACUGAUUUUUCUGAAGCGGUCAGCAACUGGGUUGAUACUGGCAUCCCAAAGGGAAGCUCCCAUUCCCUGCUAAAGCGCACAGCAAACCCACACGCUACUACCUCUCAGGCAGCGUCAACGGAUCUGUCUUCAGCCAUUAGGUCCAAGAAAGCAGGCCAUGCUUCUUCUGCAUCUUCUGAUGAGCAUAAGAUGGAACCGGGAGUCACCUCAGCAGCCCAUGCCGUUGAAGCCACUGCUUCAGCCAACAAAGAGGCAGGGUCGUUCGGCAUCCCACCGAGCAGCAAUCAGGACGCCUCUGGUCCUUCGUUCAGUGAAAUGCUUAAGAGCACAAAGAAGCCCCCCUUGCAGUAUGACGCCUCUGAAUCCGCAGACGGCGGCCCUGGCGGCAAGGGCACGAAGAAGAAAGCAAAGAAAGGAAAGCAGAUCGACCCUUCGCUUCUGGGCUUCAAGGUCCACAGCAACCGCAUCUUGAUGGGCGAGAUCCACCGCCCCGACGACUAA
rnacentral:rRNA from 1 species